rnacentral:lncRNA from 1 species
AUGAUAAGUAAAUAAGGCACCGCAUGCGGAAAGGUAUAUAGAGGGACUAGGAAAAGUUUACCUUGUCUGGAAUCUCACAAACCAAUUUCUCAUUAUGUUGCUUAAUAGUAUAGCUUGAUAUCAUGUCCUCUUAAAUGGUAGAGAUUAAUGUUCAAUGGUUGUCGUAGUUUUUGUGGUUGAAAAGAUAAUGGCAUAAGUUAGACUUAAUCUGAUGGUAUUGACUAAAAGAUGAAAUUGAAGGCUGUUUUUUCAAUCUUUCAGCUGAGUUGUGCUUCGGCCAUCUUCCACAUUCAAACUGUUGACCUUUAAUGAGGCUUAAUAUCAACUUGGUCAGUGAGGACCUAGGAGCUGUAGUUCGCUCUAGUACUAGAAUGCCAGCACUACAGUGUGUGAAGGUUCCAAAUUUGAGCUGAAAGUCUGAGUUUAUACAGAAAUUAUCAGUUUUAGUACUCGAUUAAAUUCUCUGUUGCCCAAUGCCAGAACAAGGACCUGAGUGGUUCCUUCUUUGGUGACUAGAGCUACUUGUACAGCAUGGCCACCAGAAGUUGUCGAUGCUCCACUUAUUUAUAUAUCCAUUGGAGAAAGCAGUAUUCUUUUUAAGGUACAUGAACAAGGUACUUUGCUAUCUAAAGAAAAGUUUAUCUGCAGUUACACUAGCUUCUGGAUUUAUGUACUGCCUGUUCAUACGUAAAACUUUCCGAUGGUGAGCUACUUUGGUUGAUACCGUUAAGAGGGUCUUCUGGUUUUUAGUAUGAGUAAGCCGUGAGUUUUGUGAUUGCUUCCUUUUGGAUGGCUCCUUGCACUUUCAUUUCGUUCACUUAGCAUGUGUUAAUCACUAUGAAAUUCAAUAUUUAAUUUCAUGAUUUGUAUACCUAAUGUGCUCCAUUAGUUUUCUAAGAUGAACCAGUGCUCCUUGAAUCUCAAAAUUUGAAAUACUUUCUACAUAAAGUCCGGCCAUCAUCUGGUUGUGGAAAUAUGAUGUCCCCUUUUUGGUGCAUAUUAGCAUUGGUUAAUGAUUGUCAGUGCUUCUACCAGUUGGACAAAAAAGUGUCAGGAGAACGGUUGUUAUAUGAGUUUGCUAAAGGGGGUCGAAAUUUUGAGAUAGUGAUGAUUUGACAAUUCUAGCUGAUAGGUACUUGAAAAUCUUGGUUUGUUAAUGUAAAUUACAACCAAAAAUGAACAGUCUCAACAAGAGACCAUAAUCAGACUAUUUGAAGCAUAUCUUUCAAAUUGCAGUUUGUCUUGAUUGGUCUAUUAAAUUUGCCAGAACUUACGGUAUUAUUUUCAUGUUUUUCUCCAGAUGAAAACAUGGCAACUUCCUUCACUGGACUAUUCAUGUUCAUCACUUUGGUCAAGUAUGUUCUGAUCAUAUUACCAGAUGAUGUGUAUUCAUUGUUUUCAUUCUCUUGUAGUCAUCAGCUUCCUCUUAGUAUAUCUUCUUGGCAAAUGGUUGUUGCACUUCCUUCACGUCUUCAGCUUUUGGUUAUUAAUCUACAUGGUAGGGGUCGAUGCCAAACCUCCCGUCAUUACAAGACGGCUUUAAAUAAAUAAAAAAAAUGGUUGUUGCACUGCUUCGUUUUGUUCUUUCCCUUUAUUAUAGGGUAAUGAGCUAAUUAAGGCCAUGUAUUUCCCAUUCUCAUCUCAGAGUGAGAAAAGAAAUACAAGGUAGUGCACGUAUCUUGGAAAAUCUUUUAACUGAAGUUUUUCGCUUGAUUCUUCUGUCACACACACUCACAAAAAUAUUUGUUUACACGUUACGCGUACACCACAAUUCUUUCUUUUUUGGUUACAAAGACGUGCGUUACUUGUAAAUGGGAGCUCCAGGAGAAAAAAAGUAAAACAUGGUAUGGCGUUGUUCUCUUGGAUAUUGUUUUCCUAUUUCAAGUGUGCCCAAAAUUAUUCUAAACAACAUCUUAGGACUUCAGCUUCCAAGUUUUUAGGUGUCUCUACUGUAUGUAUACUAAUUAUAACCUUUUUCUUCAUUUAGAGAAGAAAUUGCCACUUCAUAUGUAGUGAAAAUGCAGAACCUAGCUUCUCAUCUAUCGCAACUGUUUCCGCUGUCCACACUCCUGUCUCUACAAUUAGCAUCCACAGGGAAGAUGUAAAGCUAAUACUACUGCAGCAAUUGAUAAUGAAAUUGAUUUGGUUGAUGAGUUGGAACAUAUGUUUAUACUUUCUGAAGAAAAGGGGAACCCUUGCAAUUACUUGGUUAGUCUGUCUUGCUAGGCAUGCAGGUAUAUAGGACAGUGCUGUCAAAGGAAAGAUCAAGGUACUUAGUAUUUUGCCUCAUCUGAUGUUGUUUCAAAAAAUUUCAUUACCUCUCUUAUAUAGGCAGAAUAUUUUGCACUGGGCUAUAUUACUGUUGGAGAGAGUUGCUAUAUUGGAAAUGUCUGAUAAACCAGUUGCAUUUACGAGGAAGAAACUUAAUCCUAUUUCUAGUGGGGAUGUCAUUUUUGUAUUGCGUUUACUUCUUGUCCUUGCAAUUAAUCUUCAUGCUUUUAGUUAAGAAUCUACUAACCUUGUGCCAUUCACAACAGUGUUAUCAAAGACUCGCUUAAACUUCUAAGAGAUACACAGCUCAGAUUGGGAGCUCCGUGUCACUUAGGUGGUGCUUCGAUGAAGAAGCUAAGGUGCAAGAGAGUGCACCUUCAGGAAAAUCCGCCGACUAACAGUUACAAAGAAAAGGUUAACUUAUGAGGUGCAUAGUGUCUAUCUCGAGGAGGACGAGAGAGAUGAAUGACAGGCG